GAUGAACGCUGGCGGCGUGCCUAAUACAUGCAAGUCGAGCGAAUGGAUUAAGAGCUUGCUCUUAUGAAGUUAGCGGCGGACGGGUGAGUAACACGUGGGUAACCUGCCCAUAAGACUGGGAUAACUCCGGGAAACCGGGGCUAAUACCGGAUAACAUUUUGAACCGCAUGGUUCGAAAUUGAAAGGCGGCUUCGGCUGUCACUUAUGGAUGGACCCGCGUCGCAUUAGCUAGUUGGUGAGGUAACGGCUCACCAAGGCAACGACGCGUAGCCGACCUGAGAGGGUGCUCGGCCACACUGGGACUGAGACACGGCCCAGACUCCUACGGGAGGUAGCAGUAGGGAAUCUUCCGCAAUGGACGAAAGUCUGACGGAGCAACGCCGCGUGAGUGAUGAAGGCUUUCGGGUCGUAAAACUCUGUUGUUAGGGAAGAACAAGUGCUAGUUGAAUAAGCUGGCACCUUGACGGUACCUAACCAGAAAGCCACGGCUAACUACGUGCCAGCCGCCGCAGUAA
rnacentral:rRNA from 1 species